UGGGUUUAGACCGUCGUGAGACAGGUUAGUUUACCCUACUGUUUAUAUUAUUAAGAAAAGUUAUAUAGUACGAGAGGAACAUAAGUGAUGACCUCUGGUGUAGCGAUUAAUUAUUCAAUUAUGUUGCAAAACUACGUCGUGAAUAAUAAAUGCUGAAAGCCUCUUAAGCAUGAAGUCAAUCUUAAUGAUAAACAACUGAGGAAUACUACCUCUUUGAAGAGUGGGACUGUAAGAAUGAAGGUGUAUACCGACAUUUUGAGGUUACCAUUUCGUUCUGUAUAAAAAUA
rnacentral:rRNA from 1 species